GUGGGGAAUAUUGCACAAUGGGCGCAAGCCUGAUGCAGCAACGCCGCGUGAGGGACGACGGCCUUCGGGUUGUAAACCUCUUUUAGCAGGGAAGAAGCGAAAGUGACGGUACCUGCAGAAAAAGCACCGGCUAACUACGUGCCAGCAGCCGCGGUAAUACGUAGGGUGCAAGCGUUGUCCGGAAUUAUUGGGCGUAAAGAGCUCGUAGGCGGUUUGUCGCGUCUGCUGUGAAAACCCGAGGCUCAACCUCGGGCCUGCAGUGGGUACGGGCAGACUAGAGUGCGGUAGGGGAGAUUGGAAUUCCUGGUGUAGCGGUGGAAUGCGCAGAUAUCAGGAGGAACACCGAUGGCGAAGGCAGAUCUCUGGGCCGUAACUGACGCUGAGGAGCGAAAGCGUGGGGAGCGAACAGGAUUAGAUACCCGUGUAGUUCC
rnacentral:rRNA from 1 species